rnacentral:rRNA from 1 species
CCUACGGGUGGCUGCAGUGGGGAAUAUUGGACAAUGGGGGGAACCCUGAUCCAGCCAUGCCGCGUGUGUGAAGAAGGCCCUCGGGUUGUAAAGCACUUUCAGUGAGGAAGAACGCCUGGUGGUUAAUACCCAUCAGGAAAGACAUCACUCACAGAAGAAGCACCGGCUAACUCCGUGCCAGCAGCCGCGGUAAUACGGAGGGUGCGAGCGUUAAUCGGAAUUACUGGGCGUAAAGCGCGCGUAGGUGGCUUGAUAAGCCGGUUGUGAAAGCCCCGGGCUCAACCUGGGAACGGCAUCCGGAACUGUCAAGCUAGAGUGCAGGAGAGGAAGGUAGAAUUCCCGGUGUAGCGGUGAAAUGCGUAGAGAUCGGGAGGAAUACCAGUGGCGAAGGCGGCCUUCUGGACUGACACUGACACUGAGGUGCGAAAGCGUGGGUACCAAACAGGAUUAGAUACCCCGGUAGUC